GGGGAUGUAGCUCAGAGGUAGAGCACCCGUUUUGCAAGCGGAAGCGCGUCGGUUCGACUCCGACCAUCUCCACCA
rnacentral:tRNA from 1 species